UAAUAGAUUCACUACAUUCGUCCUGUCUGUUUUUAAAGUUACCUUCUGCUCGCUUGGAUUGUGGGGACAUCAAACAUGGAACUACAUUCCUCGAGUUCUAUUCAGCGCAAUUUGUAUUUUUCCCACCGUUUUUUGGAUCUUCAAUUUCAACAGAAUUUCUCGUCAAGAUAUUACUACGCCUGAUACUAGUGCUGAAAUAAUAUGUUUUACAUUAUUAGUUCCUCUUGCCGGUCUUCUCUCUUAUAUUGUUUUCACUGAUUGUUUUAUCGCAGCGGGGCGUAAAGACUCGGCCUUGGUAUCUCCAUCUGAAACGAUGAUGCUGGAUAUUCAAAGAACGGACAUCUUCUUGUUAUUUCUCGCUUUUGUUUUCAUUAUUAUUUCUUUUUUAAGCACGUGGGUCCUUUCUCUCAAAAUACAACCCACCGAUGUCCCUGAUGAAGCGGCUUUUACAGUACAGUACUUGGCUCAUUGGACAUCAGUCACCACUUGUCUCGUCUUCGCUGUCAGUUCCUUUACACUCGGUACUAUUGCACAAGACGCCUUCAGGCUAAUCCGGGAUGUUCAGAAUGGAACCCUUGAUGACGUGAUAAGAAUUCAUGAACAUCUGUGUACAGUUGUUUUCAAUACAGUAUCAGCUUACAGCGUUUGGUUUGUGCUACACUGGUUUACUUAUGGAGCAGCCGUCGUUGUUACCGUCAUACUUUUGUCAGAAGGGUCUUCCUCGCUUUAGCCUUUGUUGGUCUUCUAUACCUGUUUGUAUUACCCUGUUUCUGUGCGGCCAGGAUCACAAGUAGCUGUGCUGGAAUCUACGAGAGAAUCAACUGCACCACAUCUGAUGACUGGAAUGAAGGCCAUCCGUUCACAGAUCGCCGCAACAUCGCUCUGUUUAUUUCCUACGCUAAGGACAGGCGCUGUGGGUUUAAAGUUUGUAGAAUCACGUUUGAUACUGCUCUGACCUGGGUUUCCUUUUUUCUUGGACUAACUGCUUUGCUGUUUCACUUUUUGCAAUUAAAAAACUAACACGAUCGAGAAAAAGACGGCUAGGGUUGUCAGGAAACCUUAGGUUGCAAAUUGAAAAAUCUGUAAACGAAACAUCAUUUCCAGUUGGUUAAAAAAGCCGCCAUUUUGAAUUUAAAAGAUGCUAAGGACCAAAAAGGCCCAACGAGAUUUUGUUAGUAGCAGGAAAUCCAUCAAGGGUUUCUAUGCGUGAUAGAAACCUCGAGCUCAUAAUCUAAUUGUUACUUAGAAAACAGCCUUAAGAAAAUACACGCGCUGAUUGGUUAAAAAUCGUAUUUCUAUUAAGCAAUUAGAUUAUGAGCUCGAAUUUCUAUCGCUGCGCCUUCGUCAACUUUCACGCAUUGAACUCGAGAGCGAAUAAUCUAAUUGUUUUAGUAUAAAUCUACCAGUCGUUCAAAACUUAAUCUAAAUCCUCUUCAC
rnacentral:misc_RNA from 1 species